rnacentral:rRNA from 1 species
CCUACGGGGUGCAGCAGUGGGGAAUAUUGCACAAUGGGCGCAAGCCUGAUGCAGCCAUGCCGCGUGUAUGAAGAAGGCCUUCGGGUUGUAAAGUACUUUCAGCGGGGAGGAAGGUGUUGAGGUUAAUAACCUCAGCAAUUGACGUUACCCGCAGAAGAAGCACCGGCUAACUCCGUGCCAGCAGCCGCGGUAAUACGGAGGGUGCAAGCGUUAAUCGGAAUUACUGGGCGUAAAGCGCACGCAGGCGGUCUGUCGAGUCGGAUGUGAAAUCCCCGGGCUCAACCUGGGAACUGCAUUCGAAACUGGCAGGCUAGAGUCUUGUAGAGGGGGGUAGAAUUCCAGGUGUAGCGGUGAAAUGCGUAGAGAUCUGGAGGAAUACCGGUGGCGAAGGCGGCCCCCUGGACAAAGGCUGACGCUCAGGUGCGAAAGCGUGGGGAGCAAACAGGAUUAGAUACCCGGGUAGUC